rnacentral:rRNA from 1 species
AUUGAACGCUGGCGGCAUGCCUUACACAUGCAAGUCGAACGGUAACGGGCCUUCGGGUGCCGACGAGUGGCGAACGGGUGAGUAAUAUAUCGGAACGUACCUUUCAGUGGGGGAUAACGUAGCGAAAGUUACGCUAAUACCGCAUAUUCUGUGAGCAGGAAAGCAGGGGACCUUCGGGCCUUGCGCUGAUUGAGCGGCCGAUAACAGAUUAGCUAGUUGGUGAGGUAAAGGCUCACCAAGGCUACGAUCUGUAGCGGGUCUGAGAGGAUGAUCCGCCACACUGGAACUGAGACACGGUCCAGACUCCUACGGGAGGCGGCAGUGGGGAAUUUUGGACAAUGGGGGCAACCCUGAUCCAGCCAUGCCGCGUGAGUGAAGAAGGCCUUCGGGUUGUAAAGCUCUUUCGGCCGGGAAAAAAUCGCAUCAGCUAAUACCUGGUGUGGAUGAUGGUACCGGAAUAAGAAGCACCGGCUAACUACGUGCCAGCAGCCGCCGCCGUAA